GUGCCAGCCGCCGGGGUAAUACCGGCAGCCCGAGUGAUGGCCGAUCUUAUUGGGCCUAAAGCGUCCGUAGCUGGGUCUGAAAGCCCAUCGGGAAAUCCACUCGCUCAACGAGUGGCCGUCCGGUGGAAACUCCACGGCUUGGGACCGGAAGGCUCGAGAGGUACGUCCGGGGUAGGAGUGAAAUCCCGUAAUCCCGAACGGACCACCGAUGGCGAAAGCAUCUCGAGAAAACGGAUCCGACAGUGAGGGACGAAAGCUAGGGUCUCGAACCGGAUUAGAUACCCGUGUAGUCC
rnacentral:rRNA from 1 species